rnacentral:rRNA from 1 species
CAUUGGGUAGGGGAGCGUUCUGUAAGCGGUUGAAGGUGUGUGGUAACGCAUGCUGGACGUAUCAGAAGUGCGAAUGCUGACAUGAGUAACGAUAAAGGGGGUGAAAAACCUCCUCGCCGGAAGACCAAGGGUUCCUGUCCAACGUUAAUCGGGGCAGGGUAAGUCGACCCCUAAGGCGAGGCCGAAAGGCGUAGUCGAUGGGAAACGGGUUAAUAUUCCCGUACUUCUUACAAUUGCGAUGGGGGGACGGAGAAGGCUAGGUGGGCCUGGCGACGGUUGUCCAGGUUCAAGUGCGUAGGCUUGAGAGUUAGGUAAAUCCGGCUCUUUUUAAGGCUGAGACACGACGUCGAGCCACUACGGUGGUGAAGUCAUUGAUGCCAUGCUUCCAGGAAAAGCCUCUAAGCUUCAGAUUGUAAGGAAUCGUACCCCAAACCGACACAGGUGGUCGGGUAGAGAAUACCAAGGCGCUUGAGAGAACUCGGGUGAAGGAACUAGGCAAAAUGGUACCGUAACUUCGGGAGAAGGUACGCUCUCGACGGUGAAGUCCCUCGCGGAUGGAGCUAUUGAGAGUCGCAGAUACCAGGUGGCUGCAACUGUUUAUUAAAAACACAGCACUGUGCAAAAUCGUAAGAUGACGUAUACGGUGUGACGCCUGCCCGGUGCCGGAAGGUUAAUUGAUGGGGUUAGACUUCGGUCGAAGCUCUUGAUCGAAGCCCCGGUAAACGGCGGCCGUAACUAUAACGGUCCUAAGGUAGCGAAAUUCCUUGUCGGGUAAGUUCCGACCUGCACGAAUGGCGUAAUGAUGGCCACGCUGUCUCCACCCGAGACUCAGUGAAAUUGAAAUCGCUGUGAAGAUGCAGUGUACCCGCGGCUAGACGGAAAGACCCCGUGAACCUUUACUACAGCUUGGCACUGAACAUUGACCCUACAUGUGUAGGAUAGGUGGGAGGCUUUGAAGCACGUACGCCAGUAUGUGUGGAGCCGUCCUUGAAAUACCACCCUUGUAGUGUUGAUGUUCUAACGUCGACCCCUUAUCGGGGUUGCGGACAGUGCCUGGUGGGUAGUUUGACUGGGGCGGUCUCCUCCCAAAGAGUAACGGAGGAGCACGAAGGUGGGCUAAUCACGGUUGGACAUCGUGAGGUUAGUGCAAUGGCAUAAGCCCGCUUGACUGCGAGAAUGACAAUUCGAGCAGGUGCGAAAGCAGGUCAUAGUGAUCCGGUGGUUCUGAAUGGAAGGGCCAUCGCUCAACGGAUAAAAGGUACUCCGGGGAUAACAGGCUGAUACCGCCCAAGAGUUCAUAUCGACGGCGGUGUUUGGCACCUCGAUGUCGGCUCAUCACAUCCUGGGGCUGAAGUCGGUCCCAAGGGUAUGGCUGUUCGCCAUUUAAAGUGGUACGCGAGCUGGGUUUAGAACGUCGUGAGACAGUUCGGUCCCUAUCUGCCGUGGGCGUUGGAAGAUUGAAGGGGGCUGCUCCUAGUACGAGAGGACCGGAGUGGACGAACCUCUGGUGUUCGGGUUGUGUCGCCAGACGCAUUGCCCGGUAGCUAAGUUCGGAAUCGAUAACCGCUGAAAGCAUCUAAGCGGGAAGCGAGCCCUGAGAUGAGUCUUCCCUGAUACUUUAAGUAUCCUAAAGGGUUGUCGGAGACUACGACGUUGAUAGGUCAGGUGUGUAAGUGCUGUGAGGCAUUGAGCUAACUGAUACUAAUUGCCCGUGAGGCUUAACCAU